AUUGAACGCUGGCGGCAGGCUUAACACAUGCAAGUCGAACGAUGAUUAUCUAGCUUGCUAGAUAUGAUUAGUGGCGGACGGGUGAGUAACAUUUAGGAAUCUGCCUAGUAGUGGGGGAUAGCUCGGGGAAACUCGAAUUAAUACCGCAUACGACCUACGGGUGAAAGGGGGCGCAAGCUCUUGCUAUUAGAUGAGCCUAAAUCAGAUUAGCUAGUUGGUGGGGUAAAGGCCCACCAAGGCGACGAUCUGUAACUGGUCUGAGAGGAUGAUCAGUCACACCGGAACUGAGACACGGUCCGGACUCCUACGGGAGGCAGCAGUGGGGAAUAUUGGACAAUGGGGGCAACCCUGAUCCAGCCAUGCCGCGUGUGUGAAGAAGGCCUUUUGGUUGUAAAGCACUUUAAGCAGGGAGGAGAGGCUAAUGGUUAAUACCCAUUAGAUUAGACGUUACCUGCAGAAUAAGCACCGGCUAACUCUGUGCCAGCAGCCGCGGUAAUACAGAGGGUGCGAGCGUUAAUCGGAAUUACUGGGCGUAAAGCGAGUGUAGGUGGCUCAUUAAGUCACAUGUGAAAUCCCCGGGCUUAACCUGGGAACUGCAUGUGAUACUGGUGGUGCUAGAAUAUGUGAGAGGGAAGUAGAAUUCCAGGUGUAGCGGUGAAAUGCGUAGAGAUCUGGAGGAAUACCGAUGGCGAAGGCAGCUUCCUGGCAUAAUAUUGACACUGAGAUUCGAAAGCGUGGGUAGCAAACAGGAUUAGGUACCCUGGUAGUCCACGCCGUAAACGAUGUCUACUAGCCGUUGGGGUCCUUGAGACUUUAGUGGCGCAGUUAACGCGAUAAGUAGACCGCCUGGGGAGUACGGCCGCAAGGUUAAAACUCAAAUGAAUUGACGGGGGCCCGCACAAGCGGUGGAGCAUGUGGUUUAAUUCGAUGCAACGCGAAGAACCUUACCUGGUCUUGACAUAGUGAGAAUCCUGCAGAGAUGCGGGAGUGCCUUCGGGAAUUCACAUACAGGUGCUGCAUGGCUGUCGUCAGCUCGUGUCGUGAGAUGUUGGGUUAAGUCCCGCAACGAGCGCAACCCUUUUCCUUAUUUGCCAGCGGGUUAAGCCGGGAACUUUAAGGAUACUGCCAGUGACAAACUGGAGGAAGGCGGGGACGACGUCAAGUCAUCAUGGCCCUUACGACCAGGGCUACACACGUGCUACAAUGGUAGGUACAGAGGGUUGCUACACAGCGAUGUGAUGCUAAUCUCAAAAAGCCUAUCGUAGUCCGGAUUGGAGUCUGCAACUCGACUCCAUGAAGUCGGAAUCGCUAGUAAUCGCAGAUCAGAAUGCUGCGGUGAAUACGUUCCCGGGCCU
rnacentral:rRNA from 1 species